rnacentral:rRNA from 1 species
GUGAGGAAUUUUCCGCAAUGGGCGAAAGCCUGACGGAGCAAUGCCGCGUGAAGGAUGAAGGCCUAUGGGUUGUAAACUUCUUUUCUUAGAGAAGAAUAUUGACGGUAUCUGAGGAAUAAGCAUCGGCUAACUCUGUGCCAGCAGCCGCGGUAAGACAGAGGAUGCAAGCGUUAUCCGGAAUGAUUGGGCGUAAAGCGUCUGUAGGUGGCUUCAAAAGUCUCCUGUCAAAGAUCAGGGCUAAACCCUGGGCCGGCAGGAGAAACUCUGAGGCUAGAGUUUGGUAGGGGCAGAGGGAAUUCCCGGUGGAGCGGUGAAAUGCGUAGAGAUCGAGAGGAACACCAAAGGCGAAAGCACUCUGCUGGGCCACAACUGACACUGAGAGACGAAAGCGAGGGGAGCAAAAGGGAUUAGAUACCCCUGUAGUCC